UACACUCCUGCGGGAGGCAGCAGUGAGGAAUAUUGGACAAUGGGUGGAAGCCUGAUCCAGCCAUCCCGCGUGCAGGAAGACGGCCCUAUGGGUUGUAAACUGCUUUUAUCUGGGGAUAAACCUACUUACGUGUAAGUAGCUGAAGGUACCAGAAGAAUAAGCACCGGCUAACUCCGUGCCAGCAGCCGCGGUAAUACGGAGGGUGCAAGCGUUAUCCGGAUUUAUUGGGUUUAAAGGGUCCGUAGGCGGACUGAUAAGUCAGUGGUGAAAUCCGACAGCUUAACUGUCGAACUGCCAUUGAUACUGUUAGUCUUGAGUAAGGUUGAAGUGGCUGGAAUAAGUAGUGUAGCGGUGAAAUGCAUAGAUAUUACUUAGAACACCAAUUGCGAAGGCAGGUCACUAAGUCUUAACUGACGCUGAUGGACGAAAGCGUGGGGAGCGAACAGGAUUAGAAACCCGAGUAGUCCCAUGAU
rnacentral:rRNA from 1 species